GCCGGAGUGGCGGAAUUGGCAGACGCGCAGGAUUCAAAAUCCUGUCAGGAUCACUCCUGGUGUGGGUUCGAUUCCCACCUCCGGCA
rnacentral:tRNA from 2 species